CCACAAAAAGAAAAGAAAAACUAAGAAUCCUAUUGCCCUAUCUACUCAGGUCCUUGAGCCCCGAGGGGGGGAAGCUCCGCCUCAUCGUCAAAAAAGGCGGCCAAGGCGUCUCCAGGGACAGCCGCGGCAUCAUCGAGCCUCUGCACCUCCUCCUGGGCUUCUGUUUCGUCGUCAGGGAGGACGUAGCCCUCACAAACCGC
rnacentral:lncRNA from 1 species